UGCAGGUUUUUCAACUCCUUUCCUUUCACACGCCCAGCUCCCAGCACCAGCUCACAUCUCUCCUCCUCCUCCUCCUCCUUCCUCUCCAAUCCCGACUGAGCAACACGCAACCACCGGCGCGGCAACCGCCGUGUCGCUCCAUGCAUAAGGUCUCCGCCCGCCAUGCCGCACCGCCGCCGAGUCCUUAACCCGACGCUGCCCCCGCCACCUCCCCCCGCCACCGCGUUCGGCCACCUCGGCGCGGACGAGGCGGCGCGGCUGCCGCUCCUCGCGGACUACGCGCUGCUCCACCAGUCCUCCGCCGCCGCCUCCGUCUCCGUCGUCGACGCGCCCGCGGCGGCCCCGGCGUCGUCCGAGUGGAGCGCCGGGAGCGCCUUCACCGCCAUCUCCGACGCGGCCACCACCACCGCCUCCUCCACCGCUACGGCGCCGGGCUCCUCCUCCCAGCUGCUGACCGCCGCCGAAGCCGUCGGCGGGAGGGAGAGGGACACGUGGGUCCGCCGCGCCAGGGAGGGGUACUACCUCCAGCUCUCGCUCGCCAUCCGCCUCACCUCGCAGGCCUUCCUCGCCGGCGCCCCUCCCCCGCCCGAGCUCCUCUUCGGCUGCGGCUCCGGCGUCGUCGCCGAACACCACGCUGCUGGCGACGGCGCGGAUGAUCCGGAGGCCAUCUCCUACCGGCUCUGGGUGAACGGGUGCCUGUCGUGGGGCGACAAGAUCACGCACGGCUUCUACAACAUCAUGGGCAUCGACCCGCACCUGUGGGCCAUGUGCAACGUCGCGGAGGAGGGCCGCCGGCUGCCGUCGCUGGCGGCGCUGCGGGCGGUGGACGCCAGCGAGUCGUCGCUGGAGGUGGUGCUCGUCGACAAGGGCGCCGACUCGGUGCUCCUCGACCUCGAGCGCCGCGCCCUCGACCUCGUCCGCGCGCUCGGCGUCACGCUCGACCUCGCCCGCAGCCUCGCCGUCCUCGUCUCCGACCACAUGGGAGGUGCGUUGCGAUCGGAGGACGGGGACCUGUACCUGCGGUGGAAGGCGGUGAGCAAGAAGCUGAAGAAGAGGCAGAAGUGCGUCGUCGUCCCCAUCGGCGGCCUGUCCAUAGGCUUCUGCCGGCACCGUGCCAUUCUUUUCAAGGUACUCGCGGACUUCAUCGGCCUGCCAUGCCGGAUUGCGCAAGGCUGCAAGUACUGCUCUGCGCCUCACCGAUCAUCUUGCCUUGUCAAAGUUGACAGUGAGAGGAGAUAUGCAAGGGAGUACGUUGUGGACCUUGUAGUUGAGCCUGGGAGCAUCAGCAGCCCGGAUUCAUCCAUCAACGGCCAGCUGCUGUCGACAGUGCCUUCACCUUUCAAGACUUCGAGUGCAGUUGGCUCAGGGAACUACACAACACCAGUUGCAGCCUGGAAUCAAGCAAUAGCAGAUGAACGUCGCAACAUGGUAUUGUUAAAUUCCCAGUAUUCAGUUGCUAGGUGCCGCGUUGUGGAGAACAACUCUGUUCAGGUAGCCAGCAAAGAAGAGCUGGUGCGUGGACAGAUCACGCAGAAUGGAAACUGUAAUGGCGUAUCAAAUUUACAAGUGUCGGAGCAAUUCAAGGCAAUGGACAUCGGUGCUGAGAAUGGUAACAAGGAGAACGUCCCUGGUACUACGCUUCCAGAAAGCUUGAGCAUUGAACCACCUUUUGCUGUAGACUGGCUCGAGAUAUCAUGGGAGGAGCUCGACCUCAAGGAACGCGUAGGCGCCGGUUCUUUCGGCACAGUUUAUCGUGCAGAUUGGCAUGGUUCAGAUGUUGCAGUAAAGGUGCUUACAGAUCAGGAUGUCGGCGAAGCUCAGCUGAAGGAAUUCCUAAGAGAGAUUGCUAUUAUGAAACGAGUCCGCCAUCCGAAUGUGGUAUUGUUCAUGGGUGCAGUGACAAAAUGCCCACAUUUGUCAAUAGUGACAGAGUAUUUGCCCAGAGGGAGCCUCUUCCGCCUCAUCAACAAGGCAGCUAGUGGAGAAAUGCUGGAUCUAAAGCGCCGUUUGCGCAUGGCACUAGAUGUUGUAUGUAUCACAUUGUGUUCUACACUUGAGAGACUCCCGAAAUGUCAUUGAAUCUCUACUUGCUGUAUGUGCAAUUCAGGCAAAAGGCAUCAACUAUCUCCACUGCCUGAAUCCUCCUAUUGUGCAUUGGGAUCUCAAGACACCAAACAUGCUGGUUGACCGGAACUGGUCUGUGAAGAUUUAAGGCAAACACCUUCAUAUCAUCAAAAUCAGUUGCUGGAACACCAGAAUGGAUGGCACCCGAAUUUCUCCGUGGCGAGCCAUCCAACGAGAAGUGCGAUGUUUACAGCUUCGGCGUGGUCUUGUGGGAGCUCCUGACAAUGCAGCAACCAUGGAGUGGCCUAGGCCCUGCGCAGGUAGUAGGAGCUGUAGCAUUUCAGAACAGAAGGCUUUCAAUUCCGAAAGAUACCAAUCCAGAACUUGCUGCUCUUGUUGAAUCCUGCUGGGAUGACGAUCCAAGGCAGCGGCCUUCGUUUUCGAGCAUUGUGGAUACACUGAAGAAGUUGCUGAAGGCUCUUCUAGGAGGUUCAUGAGGACUCUUGCUGGCUGUCUUGGCUGGGCCUUUGCCACUCCAUUUUUCGCUCGUUUUCUCAUUCCUUUUCUGUCUCUCUCCAUGCUAAACUACAGAAAGGAAUAAUCCUGUUGCCCCAAGGAAGGAGAUGAGAUAUAGCUGAAGCAGCACAAGCGCAAUGCUGCCUCGAGUUCGUUAAGUCGCUUAUCUUUUUAUCCUCAUGCAAAGCAAAUAAUCAUUGCAUUUUGCUCUCCCAUGCUGCCCUGGGGCAGCCUUUGUACAGCGAUUCCUAGUGCUAAUAGAAGUUGCUCACUUGCUGUGGCCUCUGGGGUAGUUGGGUGGUCUGAAUAUCUGCUAUCCCUGAAUGUUCUAACUGAUUCUAUUGGUUGUGCACUAGGACUGAAGAUAUGUGCUCUAGGAGAAA